UUUUGUGUGACUGGACGGUGAAGCUGUCUGUGGGAAUGACCUGGCUAGUGCUCAGUGUAGUCCUAAUUAAGGUGUCUUUUACUCCGUGUUCCCAGGCUCCCUGUUUUCCUUCGGUCGCCGUGGGUGUGCCGGACGCCUCUGGCAGGACUAACCCUGUGGCUUUUAUGUCCAACGUGCUGUGCUGUGUGUGCCUGCAGAAUUGCCACGAGAGGAAAUACUUCAGAGGGGCUUCCCUCCAGCUAAGCCCUGAAUAUGCCAGGAGGUUUCAGCCGGGAGGAAAGGAGCUGUGGAAGAAAAGCAGCCUAAAAAUAGCCAGCGGGGAUCAUCAGGUUUUCCAGCCAAGAAGAACAAGGAGAGAGAUGAGGGAAUCGGGUUCCAAUUCCUAAUGAUUUGGUGGGUGCAGGAAUGAUUUCUGUGUGUUUUCCAGUCCCUUUUGAUUCCUGAGAUGAUUUUAAAAUGAUGGCUUUAGCAAUCAACUAAAUCGGAGAUGUUGUUUUUGAGAGGAAAUGAUGCCAAAUAAAUGCAGAGUUUUGGGUCAGUUUUUGG